CCAGAUUGCUCUGGUGCGGAUUCGGAUGUGGAAAAAAAAAGCUGAGGUGAACAACCCUAUAAGGGGACAUGUUUUCGGGGAUAAUGGUUCCGAAUGUAACACAUGUAGUCGUUACAAAACACUACGUUGCGGCGUAACGUAGUGGUACAAUUGGCUGGCCACCUAGCGUACAUGUGGAGUGUGUUUUCAGUCUUUGUGAUUGAUAAAC
rnacentral:lncRNA from 1 species